rnacentral:tRNA from 1 species
GCGGAUAUGGCGAAACUGGCAGACGCGCAGGACUUAGAAUCCUGUGGGCAACCGUGCAGGUUCAAGUCCUGUUAUCCGCACCA